rnacentral:rRNA from 1 species
GACGAGCGCUGGCGGCGUGCUUAACACAUGCAAGUCGAACGGAAAGGCCCUGCUUUUGUGGGGUGCUCGAGUGGCGAACGGGUGAGUAACACGUGAGUAACCUGCCCUUGACUUUGGGAUAACUUCAGGAAACUGGGGCUAAUACCGGAUAGGAGCUCCUGCUGCAUGGUGGGGGUUGGAAAGUUUCGGCGGUUGGGGAUGGACUCGCGGCUUAUCAGCUUGUUGGUGGGGUAGUGGCUUACCAAGGCUUUGACGGGUAGCCGGCCUGAGAGGGUGACCGGCCACAUUGGGACUGAGAUACGGCCCAGACUCCUACGGGAGGCAGCAGUGGGAAAUAUUGCACAAUGGGCGGAAGCCUGAUGCAGCAACGCCGCGUGCGGGAUGACGGCCUUCGGGUUGUAAACCGCUUUCGCCUGUGACGAAGCGUGAGUGACGGUAAUGGGUAAAGAAGCACCGGCUAACUACGUG